CAUAGAGAUGUCCCUGCAGGAGAUGCAUCUGUCCGCUCCCCACUCAUUUCAUCUCAUCUGAACAGAUCUCAUCUCAUCAGAACAGAACUCAUCUCAUCUUAUCCCUCCACACCCACACCCCACUACACCACCACACACCUCCACACACCACUACACCACCUCCACACACCACUACACACCUCCACACACCACUACACCACCUCCACACGCCUCCACACACCACUACAACACCUCCACACGCCUCCACACCCCACUACACCACCUCCACACACCACUACACCACCUCCACACCCCACUACACCACCUCCACACACCACUACACACCUCCACACACCACUACACACCUCCACACACCACUACACCACCUCCACACCCCACCACACACCUCCACACACCACUACACCACCUCCACACACCACUACACACCUCCACACACCACUACACCACCUCCACUACACCACUACACACCUCCACACACCACUACACCACCUCCACACACCACUACACCACCUCCACACCCCACUACACCACCUCCACACGCCUCCACACCACCUCCACACACCACUACACCACCUCCACACACCACUACACACCUCCACACACCACCUCCACACCCCACUACACCACCUCCACACGCCUCCACACCACCUCCACACACCACUACACCACCUCCACACACCUCCACACACCACUACACACCUCCACACACCCCUACACCACCUCCACACACCUCCACACCCCACUACACCACCUCCACACCCCACUUACACCACCUCCACACGCCUCCACACACCACUACACACCUCCACACACCACUACACACCUCCACACACCACUACACCACCUCCACACCCCACUAUAACACCUCCACACACCCACUACACCACCUCCACACCACCACUACACACCUCCACACACCACUACACCACCUCCACACCCCACCACACACCUCCACACACCACUAACCACCUCCACUACACCACUACACACCUCCACACACCACUACACCACCUCCACACACCACUACACCACCUCCACACCCCACUACACCACCUCCACACACCACUACACCACCUCCACACACCACUACACACCUCCACACACCACUACACCACCUCCACACACCACUACACCACUACACACCUCCACACACCACUACACACCUCCACACACCCCUACACCACCUCCACACCCCACUACAACACCUCCACACACCACUACACCACCUCCACACGCCUCCACACACCACUACACCACCUCCACACACCACUACACACCUCCACACACCACUACACCACCACCACUACACACCUCCACACACCACUACACACCUCCACACACCCCUACACCCCACCACACACCUCCACACCACCUCCACACCCCACCACACACCUCCACAAAACAUACAUGAUGUACUUUUGGGUACAAAACCACGAAACAUACAUGAUGUACUUUUAUAUGGAUCUGGAUAGGUUUUUGGGUAUAUUUUGGAGAGGCUAUAGACCAUCAUAUGUGUUGUCACAAUAAAUUACAAUAUAUUACACUGAAAUUAAUUCAGAAUGGUUUGCUGUAGUACAGAAAGCAAGAAAAAAGUAUGAAUUCUUGAUGUACAGUGACAGGUACUGGAUGUUGUAUUUGGUGAGGUUGGAGAGGUUAUGAGACACUUGGAGACGUCUAAAGGUACCAUAUGGAAACUGAUGUGUAACACUUGUAAACUUUUGUCUAUCUGCUUCAAAUUUUUUACACACACUGUCAAGAUGUUGUUGCAUCAGGAAAUGUAAAUGUUAGUUUCCUAUGACAUUCAAAACCCAGUUCUACACUGAAACAUAAAAAAAACACUAGGCGUUUUAUGUUUUUUUCUGACAAAAAUGUUGGUUUUGCUGCUCUGAAAUGUAAACUAAAAUGACAUAAUAAAACACUUUAACUGAUUGCA
rnacentral:lncRNA from 1 species